rnacentral:rRNA from 1 species
UACAGAGGGGGCAAGCGUUGUCCGGAAUUAUUGGGCGUAAAGAGCUCGUAGGCGGUGUGUCGCGUCGGUCGUGAAAACUUGGGGCUUAACCCUGAGCUUGCGGUCGAUACGGGCAUCACUGGAGUUCGGCAGGGGAGACUGGAAUUCCUGGUGUAGCGGUGAAAUGCGCAGAUAUCGGGAAGAACACCCAUGGCGAAGGCAGCUUGCCAGAAUGCGCUCGACGGUGAGGGAUGAAAGCUGGGGGAGCAAACCGG